rnacentral:rRNA from 1 species
ACCUCUGUCCUAUGGGACGAAGGAAGUGACGGUACCAUAGGAGGAAGCCCCGGCUAACUACGUGCCAGCAGCCGCGGUAAUACGUAGGGGGCGAGCGUUGUCCGGAAUGAUUGGGCGUAAAGGGCGCGUAGGCGGCCUGCUAAGUCUGGAGUGAAAGUCCUGCUUUCAAGGUGGGAAUUGCUUUGGAUACUGGUGGGCUGGAGUGCAGGAGAGGAAAGCGGAAUUACCGGUGUAGCGGUGAAAUGCGUAGAGAUCGGUAGGAA